rnacentral:rRNA from 1 species
CAGAACGAACGCUGGCGGCAGGCCUAACACAUGCAAGUCGAGCGCCCCGCAAGGGGAGCGGCAGACGGGAGAGUAACACGUGGGAACGUACCCUUCGGUUCGGAACAACCCAGGGAAACUUGGGCUAAUACCGGAUACGUCCGAAAGGAGAAAGAUUUAUCGCCGAGGGAUCGGCCCGCGUCUGAUUAGAUAUUUUUUCCCUAACGGCCCAGCUAAGAGACGAUCAGUAGCUGGUCUGAGAGGAUGAUC